GACGAACGCUGGCGGCGUGCUUAACACAUGCAAGUCGAACGGAAAGGCCCUGCUUUUGUGGGGUGCUCGAGUGGCGAACGGGUGAGUAACACGUGAGUAACCUGCCCUUGACUUUGGGAUAACUUCAGGAAACUGGGGCUAAUACCGGAUAGGAGCUCCUGCUGCAUGGUGGGGGUUGGAAAGUUUCGGCGGUUGGGGAUGGACUCGCGGCUUAUCAGCUUGUUGGUGGGGUAGUGGCUUACCAAGGCUUUGACGGGUAGCCGGCCUGAGAGGGUGACCGGGCCCAAUGGGACUGAGGAACGGGCCAGAGGCCUUCGGGGGGCAGAAGGGGGGAAUAUUGCACAAUGGGCGGAAGCCUGAUGCAGCAACGCCGCGUGCGGGAUGACGGCCUUCGGGUUGUAAACCGCUUUCGCCUGUGACGAAGCGUGAGUGACGGUAAUGGGUAAAGAAGCACCGGCUAACUACGUG
rnacentral:rRNA from 1 species